GUUAGGUUGUACGGGAUGACUAAUAAACCUAGACGUCUGUUUGUCUACAUGCGAUGUAUUGUUAGGUUGUGCGGGAUGACUAAUAAACCUAGACGUCUGUUUGUCUACAUGUGAUGUGUUGUUAGGUUGUGCGGGAUGACUAAUAAACCUAGACGCCUGUUUGUCUACAUGUGAUGUAUUGUUAGGUUGUGCGGAAUGACUAAUAAACCUAGACGUCUGUUUGUCUACAUGUGAUGUAUUAAUACACAGCCACGUCCGUUAGGUUGUACGGGAUGACUAAUAAACCUAGACGUCUGUUUGUCUACAUGUGAUGUAUUAAUACACAACCGUCCGUUAGAUUGUACGGGAUGACUAAUAAACCUAGACGUCUGUUUGUCUACAUGUGAUGUAUUAAUACACAACCGUCCGUUAGGUUGUACGGGAUGACUAAUAAACCUAGACGUCUGUUUGUCUACAUGUGAUGUAUUUUAAGGGUUGUACGGGAUGACUAAUAAACCUAGACGUCUGUUUGUCUACAUGUGAUGUAUUACUACGGUACAUGACCCAGUUCAUUUGUUCAAAAGGUUUCGUUGUUUCUUACAGACACCAACACAAAAGUAAAUACAGAUAAUCUAAAAAUACAGAAGCCUUUCGAACCUGUCGGACUUUAUCCAGGGGCGGAUCCAGCCAUUUUUAAAAGGGGGAGUUCCAACCAUAUGUCCCCAUUCUAA